UAGCGGAGGGGCUAGCGUUGUUCGGAAUUACUGGGCGUAAAGCGUGCGCAGGCGGUUGUGCAAGAACCGACGUGUGAAAUCCCCGGGCUUAACCUGGGGAAUGGCAUUGGUGACUGCACGGCUAGGAGUGUGUCAGAGGGGGGUAGAAUUCCAACGUGUAGCAGUGAAAUGCGUAGAGAUGUGGACGGAAUGACCGAUGGCGAAGGCAGCCCCCUGGGAUAACACUGACGCUCUGGCACGAAAGCGUGGGGAGCAAACAGG
rnacentral:rRNA from 1 species